rnacentral:rRNA from 1 species
UACGUAGGGUGCGAGCGUUAAUCGGAAUUACUGGGCGUAAAGCGUGCGCAGGCGGUUAUGUAAGACAGAUGUGAAAUCCCCGGGCUCAACCUGGGAACUGCAUUUGUGACUGCAAAGCUUGAGUACGGUAGAGGGGGAUGGAAUUCCGCGUGUAGCAGUGAAAUGCGUAGAUAUGCGGAGGAACACCGAUGGCGAAGGCAAUCCCCUGGGCCUGUACUGACGCUCAUGCACGAAAGCGUGGGGAGCAAACAGG